UACGUAGGGUGCAAGCGUUAAUCGGAAUUACUGGGCGUAAAGCGUGCGCAGGCGGUUCUAUAAGACAGAUGUGAAAUCCCCGGGCUCAACCUGGGAACUGCAUCUGUGACUGCAUAGCUAGAGUACGGUAGAGGGGGAUGGAAUUCCGCGUGUAGCAGUGAAAUGCGUAGAUAUGCGGAGGAACACCGAUGGCGAAGGCAAUCCCCUGGACCUGUACUGACGCUCAUGCACGAAAGCGUGGGGAGCAAACAGG
rnacentral:rRNA from 1 species